rnacentral:lncRNA from 1 species
GAAAAUUUGAUUCGUAUUAUAUUAAGUAUGUAUUGGGAAGUUAUUGUAUAGAUGGUCUGUUCAUAUGUUAAUAUUCAUACCCACUACUUUGGUCUUAUGUUGAAUGAGUCCAUAUGAACAAUAUUGUACAGAUGUGUUCAGAAGUUAACUUUUAGACAAGGAUAUUUCAAACAUUCAUAAGAUUUAAGACAAAUAUUUAGAAGGUAAUAAGCAACACCUUAAGGAGGACAUACAUACACCAAAACCAAUGUGUUUUAUAUUAUGG